UGGGGAAUUUUGCGCAAUGGGGGCAACCCUGACGCAGCAACGCCGCGUGCGGGACGAAGGCCUUCGGGUUGUAAACCGCUUUCAGCAGGGAAGAUCCAAGACGGUACCUGCAGAAGAAGCUCCGGCUAACUACGUGCCAGCAGCCGCGGUAAUACGUAGGGGGCGAGCGUUAUCCGGAUUCAUUGGGCGUAAAGCGCGCGUAGGCGGCCGCCUAAGCGGAACCUCUAAUCCCGGGGCUCAACCUCGGGCCGGGUUCCGGACUGGGCGGCUCGAGUGCGGUAGAGGCAGGCGGAAUUCCCGGUGUAGCGGUGGAAUGCGCAGAUAUCGGGAAGAACACCGAUGGCGAAGGCAGCCUGCUGGGCCGCCACUGACGCUGAGGCGCGAAAGCUGGGGGAGCGAACAGG
rnacentral:rRNA from 1 species